rnacentral:rRNA from 1 species
GAUGAACGCUAGCGGCAGGCUUAAUACAUGCAAGCCGUGGGGCAGCAUGACGUAGCAAUACAUUGAUGGCGACCGGCAAACGGGUGCGGAACACGUACACAACCUUCCUUUUAGUGGGGAAUAGCCCAGAGAAAUUUGGAUUAAUACCCCAUAACAUAUAGAGAUGGCAUCAUCUUAAUAUUAAAGCUUCGGCGCUAGAAGAUGGGUGUGCGGCUGAUUAGGUAGUCGGCGGGGUAACGGCCCACCAAGCCUACGAUCAGUAGCUGAUGUGAGAGCAUGAUCAGCCACACGGGCACUGAGACACGGGCCCGACUCCUACGGGAGGCAGCAGUAAGGAAUAUUGGACAAUGGACGAAAGUCUGAUCCAGCCAUGCCGCGUGAAGGAUUAAGGUCCUCUGGAUUGUAAACUUCUUUUAUUUGGGACGAAAAAAGAUCAUUCUUGAUCACUUGACGGUACCAGAUGAAUAAGCACCGGCUAACUCCGUGCCAGCCGCCGCAGUAAGAC